UUUUUUUAUCAUAUUGUUAGAAGCUGAUGUUUGGAGUUUCUACGAAGGCCUUUUUACCAAAUCACAAUCAUCAUAGUUCGUAAACUUGUGUUUGAUUCGUCUGAAAGUCUAUCCUUGCUUUAUCUUCACCAGGAGCGCUGAAAUCAACAAAUGUAAGUACCAAAGAUGUAUUAGAAAUAAACAAACCCACGUGAUGUCAACUAUCUUAGAUAAAUUUCAAAUUGUGUUAUUUAUAUCAAAUAUACAUGUUUUCACCUUUUCCUAUUUUUUGCAUUUCUCAAUUCAAUGGUAAUGGUUUCAGUUAUACAUACCGGUAGCCAGAGAGGGUUCAGGGGGUUCGGGGAUUCGGACGACCACCCCUCCCCCGGAAAGCAAAUAAGCACUGUUAAAGUCAACAUUCUGUUUGAAUUGUGACUGUUCGUGAGCCCAAAUAACACCCCUUUUAAAAUUCCUGGCUACGGGCCCGAGUUAUACAUCUUUUGAACCUAUGCGCUAUUGGUAGUAGUUAGCGGCAGUAAGUGAAAUUAGGCAUUAAGCUUAAAUCCUAGGCAAUAAGCUAACGCCUAGGCAUUAAGUUAUUGCUGAAUUUUCAGGCAUUAGCUUUUCCUGAAAUCUUAUGAUUAUUAUUUCUAUUUGCCGAACAUAAUUUUAGCCAUAAGUGAAAUCUGAAUUAUGCUAUUGGUGAUUUAUUCUUGAUAUAAGAGUUACUUAAUUUUUCUAAUAAUAAUGUGUAAUAUACAUUCAUUUGACACAUCUUCAAUUUAUAAGUUUAUUUAGUAAUUUAGCAGUUAAAAACAGAAUUACACAUACUUUUUCAUGUUUUGUGAUAUUACAAAUUUAAAGAUUUAAAAAAGUGAUUGUUAUAAUCCAAUUAACAUGUUAAAAAGGGGAGAUUCUAUUAAAUAAUUUGAUAUUUAUUGAAACAAAAUUCACUCCCAUAGUCGAGCUGAUUUACUGGUCAAAGUAGAUAAAAUUAAAAUGUGAUUUUUUGCUAACCAUUUUUCAAUUUUUUUUUAUAGAUAAGUAAGUUUUCUUAUUCACAGUUUCACAACUUUGAUAAAAAAAUCUUUGAACACAAUUUUUAUCAGUUUUCAUAUUUUAGAUUAUUUUUAAUAUUAACUAUCUUAUAGUGAUUUAUUUACCAGUCUCUUGGGAGUGUUGAACUUCCAUUUCAGCUCCCAAAGCAUGAUUUUACGAUUAUAUGUAAAUUUAACUAUUUGCAGUUAGUUGUUCAAUCUAAAUAUAAACGUGAGGAAUAUGUGCUAUUCGCCAGGGACACAUUUGCCGUUUUAUGAUUGAGGUUAAAAACUUCAAAGGAUGGUUUUAAAAUGAAGAAAUAUGCCAAAAAAUUAUAACAAUAUGAUUAUUUUUUAAAUGACAAAUUCGGCACUUACGCAAAGGACCGAAACGGACAACCGAGUUCAGCCAAUUUCUGAAUGCAAAAACGAUUUCAAAGAAUAUUUCUUUAGUUAUUUUUACUGAUUGCCCUAAAUUCGUUGUUUACACUUUCAAAUGUCUUCUAUUCAUCUACAAUGAAAUUAUUUCAUAAAUAUUUUUAAAACUGAAGUUUAUUACUUUAAUAGAUUGUAACAACGGCGAAUUGUGUCCCCUUGACAAAACAUCAGCAAAUUCAAACACCAACAUCAAAUGAUUUUUCUCAAAACAAACAUUUCUAUGCUAAGGUAUUUUGUAUUGAAAUUAUCUUCAUAUAGAAUAUCAGAUACUUCAAAACAUAAAGACCUGAACUUAAACUGAAGAAAACAUGGAGAUGGGCGAAAAUGGCACCCCUCUGUAGUUAUAUUUUUUACUUUGUUUUGUUUCAUAUAGUUUACAAGUACAAAUAUUAUAUUUAAACUAAUAUUAAUUUUCUAAUAAUUAGUCGUUUGAAUUAGUUGCUUAAAAUUUGAUACAAUAUUAUUUUUUUCUUGCUAUUUUUUACGUCAUACCGGUUAGGACAUCCUACUAAAAUAAUCUCAGAUAGGCUUCAUGGGCAUGCUGAGACUGUCGCAAGUCGGUCCUAAUUUUAUCAUAAUUUCUGUCCUAGGAAUAUCUUAUAGGAUCGAUCUUAGGACAGUUUCGAUAAACAGGCCCCAGUUCUCAUAAUGUUAUUACAAAUAUAUUGUUAAUUAAAUGAAUAAAUGUCUUGUAUUUACUCGCAUUUAUGUUUUAGGCAUUAAGCUUAAUGCCUACCCAUAUUUUUCAGGAUUUAAGCUUAAAUCCUAGGAUUUAAGACUAAUGCCUUAUAUCAUUUAGGCAAUAGACUUACUGCCUAGGCGUUAGCUUAUUGCCUAGGAUUUAAGCUUAAUGCCUAAUUAUUGCCGCUAACAUAUAUACACCUGGAAAAGGUAUUGCAACACCAAAUAAAAAUUAAAUAAAAAAAAAACACUUUUAUUUUUGUGAUAUAAUUUGGUAAAAAAGAAUUAGUUAAAUUAUUUUAAGUAUCACCUGAGUUUAAUCUUUAAAUAUCGACUCGAUAAGUUCUUAUCUGAACUGCAGCUACUGUACCCGUAACGCAAAACAGGUGUUUUAAUCCUCAUUGUUUUCAACACUUAAUAGUUUUGAAGUUAUGUGAUUGACCAUUGUAAUAGUCCUCGACAACUCUUAACUGCAGCAAGAUGGCAUAUUAUCAGCAUAGCGACAGGGAUGUCGCUGUUACAAUGCAUGUAUUGUUGGUCAUCACCAUUCCACUAUAAGUCGUUUGGAGAAUAAAAACAGGCAAUAAACGUUGUUAAACCUUCCGAGAUAAAGAAGACCCCCACCAUUGCUAGGAAAAAUUAGGCAUAUAAGUUAUCAGAAGGAAACCCAAUUGCAUACAACAAUCCUAAAAAAGAGAGUGGUGGUAUCAGGAGCAUUUAACAAGAAAUGUUCGAAAGAUCGAUCUCAUCGCUACUGGUUAUCGGUGCGAUAAGACCAUUUCGGAUACUUUGCUUACGACAGACACACAGUUUUCCGUAUCCAAUGUAGUGCAGAGCUCGCCAAAGUUAAAAUUAGCAUCGUGGAGAAGAUCCAUUGUUCCUAUAGAAUUCGGUCAUCUUCUUUGCCCGAUCGUAGCCCGGAUUUGAACCAUAUCGAGCAUAUAUUGGACACAUUGGGCGAAAGUGCGCGAAAGGACACCACAGUUCAAACACAUCAUGAAUAAACAAUGCCCAUUCAUCAGAAAUGGUUGCUGCACCUUAGAAAGAAAUUAGUCGAUUUAUGGCAGAAUCAGAAGACAUUAUGAUGCGGUUAUCGUUUGAAUGGAAGCUGCGCACAAAGUUAUAAUUCUUUGGCGUAUAACGAUCAUCAUGUGUGAACAAUCAUCGGAAUAUGAAUUUAAAAUGUCUGACAUUGUAAUGUUCGACUACAGUAUAGUUGUAAAAUGCAUUUUUUUGUACAAAAAACACUUCAUUUGUUAUCGAAAUUGGUUAUAUAAUUUAUUUUUUUUAAAACAUUUUUUUUUCGUUUAAAAUCAAUGUUAUCAUAAACAUGUUUCAAUAUAUUAUAUACAAAUAUUUUACUAUAUUUCAUCCAAAAAAAGAGGUUGAUUUUUCAAGUUUUAAAAAAUCAAGGUGUUGCAAUACUUUUUUCCAUGUGUAUAUAUAUAUUAGGAUUUUGAUGAAUCUUGAACUGUUGCUUUUUGUGUUAUACUAAGAAUGAACUGCUUUCAAUAUCCCUCUUUCUAAGUAGUGACAGAUUUCAGAAAAGAUUUCAUAGACUGAUCGUUAGCAUCAAAAUACAAACAAAAGCUGAUGUGAAUGUAAAAAGGAAGAUGUGGUAUGAUUGCCAAUGAGACAACUAUCCACAAAAGACCAAACUGACACAGACAUUAACAGCUAUAGGUCACCGUACGGUCUUCAACAAUGAGCAAAGCCCAUACCGCACAGUGUGCUAUAAAAGGCCCCAAUAAGACAAUGUAAAACAAUUCAAACGAGAAAACUAAGGGCAUUAUUUAUGUAAAGAAAUGCAAGAAAAACAAAUAUGUAACACAUAAACAAACGACAACCGCUGAAUUACAGGCUCCUGACUUGGGACAGGCACAUACAUAAAUAAUGUGGCGGGGUAAAACAUGUUAGCGGGAUCCCAACCCUCCCCUAACCUGGGACAGUGGUAUAACAGUACAACAUAAGAACAAACUAUAAAAAUCAGUUGAAAAAGGCUUAACUCAUCAGAUAGACAAAAAUACCAGUGGACCUGAACACUAUUUGUGUAUUCAAAACAUAUUAUACGGUUUUGAAAUGAACAACAUGAACCCAAAAUAUAAUUUAACAGGUAAAUGGAGCUAUCAAUAUUGGAACACUGCUCGCUAUUGUCAUUUGAGACUUUAGAUUGUUCUGAUAAGUACUCAAUGCAAACGCUAUUACUGCAAGUGAUGCAAGAGAUGUUAUUAAUUUCUAAAACAUCAGAUGUAAGUUGAGAAAAAAAAAAUGUGACAGAUCUUUGAUAAGGUUUCCCUAUACAAUAUCUGUAAAUUUCCAUCAUCGAUUGAAAAUUCCCCUAACAAAACAGGAAGUUGGCAAAGAAAAACAAUAUAGAUAAACCUGUGACGAAAGUUCCAGAUAAGAGUCACGGUUAUAUAUAGAUAAUAUCUGAUGUAUUUUUGUAUGUUUGGAGAAACUUGAGUGAUACUUAUAAAUAAAAUGCACAGACGAAACUCAUAGUUCAAAAAUUAUAUAACAAAGCGAUUUAAAUGAUAUUAACCCCCAGCCUAUCUAUUUAAUUCAAACAAAUAUUUAAAAAAAAUAAAUACGCUGACUACUAGAUUUAUAAGUUUACCUGCAUACAAGUAAUGUGGUAUACAUAUGCGAUUGCAAAUCAACAUUCACAUUAAACAAACUUCCGUUUGGGUUUGGUUCUGUGUCUUGACAAAAUAUAACAUUUUCGUAUGGGUAUUUACCUCCUCUUACCAGAUAUAUAAUUUAUUGUACUUUAUAACUAACAAUUGGUAUGAUUUGAAAUUAUUUUCCUAAUUUAAGAGAAUGACGACCACUUAAAAUAAAAACAAUAAAAAAAUUAGAUAUAAGAAAAUUAGAUAUACGAAUGAUUACCUAUUUCAUAUAAGUUCAUAUUUAUAAAGUCAGAACACAUUGAUCAUUAUAUUCAUUUAUAUUAUCCAAGUUUAAAGAUGGAGUGCAAAGGUGAAAAAAAUAUAUGUACUUUUCUUUUUCAUUCAUCUAAACCUGUUUGAGAACCAGCAACCAAUUUAAGUCUAUAUACCUGUAUGUUUUCCGUUGAUGAAUUAAUGACGGUAAAUGCUUAUUUAAAAGGCACAUACUUAAGGCUUAUAGCAACCAUCGUUCUGAUGAUUUUCUCAUAGAAAAUAUCUUGUUCGAUACAAUUAACAUAAUUUUAUAGUGUUCAAAUAUUUUUUUUUUUUUAGAAUCUGUGGUUUUUGGACUGCCUUGAUAAAUCACCAUCGACAUUUGGAGAUAUUUUCGGAUAAGCAUUAGAUCGCUUAUUACACUACAUUGCAUAUAAAAAUAAACCAAGUUUAUCAACUCAGCAAUAUAUAUUAAAACCGCGUCAAUUUUCGAGCUUCCUAUCCUUGAUUUAGAUGUGGGACUACCAACAUCAUAAUUUUUAUCAAUAUACACAUCGCAACAUAAUAAAAGGGCUUCCUCAUCAGCUAGAUACUGGAGACAGAUUAAUUUCACCAUAAAGAAAUCCUUCUGCAUUUUUAUAAAGUAGUGUGAAGUGUAUUCAUAUCAAGUUUAGUACAAACUACUGGACAAAGAAGAAUCAUUAUGUUGGAGAUCACCGUAAAUCGAACGGUAAGUGGUCGGUUAAUCAAAUACAAUAUACAUGUAGAAACCACAAAAUUAAAUAUCAUAAUUUUUGAAAUAAAAAGAAAUCUAUUAAGAACAUAUUUAUGAUAUUAUACUAUAUCAUGAUCACCACGUGAACUGUUACUUUAGAAGUAUAAACACUCUAAUUAUAUGAGAUUAGAAGGACUUCUCUAAUUGUCAUCUCCACCAUGCAUACCCAAAUCUAUGAAACCAAAUAUUUAAACUGUAUGUGAUCUGUUAACUCAGAUAUAUCAGUAACAGCAAAUACGAUGUUUGUUAUCGUUACAUGAAGCCUCAUGCUAGUAAUACAUGUAAUAUUCAUUGUGAUAAAUCAUUUAGCUACAGCAUUUGAAAUUGUUCAAACCUAUACACAAAACACCAGCCGUAUAUAUAGUUACCUUUACAUAUAUAAGUGGUAAAUCUUUGAUAGAAUCAUAUGAACCAUAAAAUGACACUUCACGUGUGUUUCUGAAAUAUCCUCACCACAUGAAGUCUUCACAAAUAGUUUCAGACGUCAGGUUUUAGAAACUAUUGAGAGUGUACAUGUCAAACAUAAACAGUCAUUACAUUUAACAGAAAGGUUAACAUAGUAUUUGUGUUUGUUCGUUGCAUAUCCUCUCAUUUAUGACUAUGCAAAAUAACACUAUUGUUCUUCUUUUACAGAUACAGAUUUGGAAAGUUAUGUUGUUGUUUUAUUUAACCAUGCUGAUUAAUGUGAUAAAUGGAACAAGAG
rnacentral:lncRNA from 1 species